GAUAAACGCUAGCGGCAGGCUUAACACAUGCAAGUCGAGGGGCAGCAUAGAUUGUAGCAAUACAAUUGGUGGCGACCGGCGCACGGGUGCGUAACGCGUAUGCAACCUACCCGUCACAGGGGGAUAAUCCGGAGAAAUCUGGCCUAAUACCCCAUAACAUAUGGAUCGGCAUCGGUUCAUGUUGAAAUUUUCGGAGGUGACGGAUGGGCAUGCGUAGCAUUAGCUUGUUGGUGGGGUAACGGCUCACCAAGGCGACGAUGCUUAGGGGGACUGAGAUGUUUUCCCCCCACACUGGUACUGAGACACGGACCGGACUCCUACGGGAGGCAGCAGUGAGGAAUAUUGGUCAAUGGGCGCAAGCCUGAACCAGCCAUGCCGCGUGCAGGAUGACGGCUCUAUGAGUUGUAAACUGCUUUUGUACGAGGGUAAAGUGGGUUACGUGUAACCUUUUGAAAGUAUCGUACGAAUAAGGAUCGGCUAACUCCGUGCCAGCCGCCGCCGUAA
rnacentral:rRNA from 1 species